rnacentral:snoRNA from 1 species
AUGUUUAGAUUGGGAAACUUUCUAAAGUAAUUGUUGAAUCUUUCUCAUGCUUUUAAAUAGCUCUCGAUAUCUCUUUGCUUGAAAAUAUGGACUUCAUUUCUAGAUAU